rnacentral:rRNA from 1 species
AGUGAACGCUGGCGGUAGGCCUAACACAUGCAAGUCGAACGGCAGCACAGUAAAAGCUUGCUCUUACGGGUGGCGAGUGGCGGACGGGUGAGGAAUACAUCGGAAUCUACUUUUUCGUGGGGGAUAACGUAGGGAAACUUACGCUAAUACCGCAUACGACCUACGGGUGAAAGCAGGAGAUCUUCGGACCUUGCGCGAUUGAAUGAGACGAUGUCGGAUUAGCUAGUUGGCGGGGUAAAGGACCACCAAGGCGACGAUCCGUAGCUGGUCUGAGAGGAUGAUCAGCCACACUGGAACUGAGACACGGUCCAGACUCCUACGGGAGGCAGCAGUGGGGAAUAUUGGACAAUGGGCGCAAGCCUGAUCCAGCCAUACCGCGUGGGUGAAGAAGGCCUUCGGGUUGUAAAGCCCUUUUGUUGGGAAAGAAAAGCAGCAGGUUAAUACCCCGCUGUUCUGACGGUACCCAAAGAAUAAGCACCGGCUAACUUCGUG